CCUACGGGAGGCAGCAGUGGGGAAUAUUGCACAAUGGGGGAAACCCUGAUGCAGCGACGCCGCGUGAGUGAAGAAGUAAUUCGUUACGUAAAGCUCUAUCAGCAGGGAAGAAAAUGACGGUACCUGUGUAAGAAGCCCCGGCUAACUACGUGCCAGCAGCCGCGGUCAUACGUAGGGGGCAAGCGUGAUCCGGAUGUACUGGGGGUAAAGGGAGCGUAGACGGCGCGCCGAGUCUGGCGUGAAAUGCCGCAGUUUAAUUGGGGAAUUGCUUUGGAUACUGGCGAACUAGAGUGCGGGAGGGGUAGGCAGAAUGCCAUGUGUAGCGGUGAAAUGCGUAGAGAUGAGGAGGAACACCGGUGGCGAAGGCGGCUUACUGGAC
rnacentral:rRNA from 1 species